rnacentral:rRNA from 1 species
UACAGAGGUCCCAAGCGUUGUUCGGAUUCACUGGGCGUAAAGGGUGCGUAGGCGGUCGGGUAAGUCUGACGUGAAAUCUUCAAGCUCAACUGGGAAACUGCGUCGGAUACUAUUCGGCUAGAGGAAUGGAGGGGGGACUGGAAUACUUGGUGUAGCAGUGAAAUGCGUAGAUAUCAAGUGGAACACCAGUGGCGAAGGCGAGUCUCUGGACAUUUCCUGACGCUGAGGCACGAAAGCCAGGGGAGCAAACGGG